rnacentral:rRNA from 1 species
UACGUAGGGGGGCAAGCGUUGUCCGGAUUACUGGGCGUAAAGCGCCUGUAGGCGGCCUGUCAAGUCCGGCCUGAAAGCCCCCCGCUCAACGGGGGAGGGUGGCUGGAAACUGGCAGGCUUGAGGGCGAGAGAGGAGGGUGGAAUUCCUGGUGUAGCGGUGAAAUGCGUAGAGAUCAGGAGGAACACCCGUGGCGAAGGCGGCCCUCUGGCUCGACCCUGACGCUGGAGAGGCGAAAGGCGUUGGGGAGCGAACGGG